rnacentral:lncRNA from 1 species
UGGAAAAAAAAGGUUUUAAUAUUUAAUAGCCCUUUUUGUGUAUGUAUGCUAUACUACACCAAAACUUUAUAAGUGGUAGUUUGUUAAAGGUUAGUUGCAAAUAAAAUCUGAAAUUACACAUAAAUUAAUAUUCUGUAUUCUUGUUACAUUAAAAUACCUGCACUUUGAAUGGACAUUUUACAAAUGCAUGGUUUACAACUUGGCAUACUGAUCAUUUGUAAAAUAUUGGUUCCCUGAGUUAUGCAGAUCUUACCAAAGAUGACUCAUUUACAUGAUAUAAAAGAAUCACAUUUGGGCUGGGGUCGUGGCUCAAUGGUGGAGUGCUUGCCUAGCAUGUGUGGGGCACUGGGUUUGAUUCUCAGCACCACACAUAAGUAAAUAAAUAAAGGUCAAUCAACAAUUGAUUUUAAAUUUUUUUUUAAAAAAGAAUCACAUUUGUUAAUAUCACCAUCAAUCUCAUCAGAAAAGUUCUUAAACAUUGAAAGCUGGCAAGCUUCUGAUGCGAGAUACAAUUUUCUAAAAUUCUAAUUUUCUCUUGAAAGCUCAGAUAUUAGCAUUGGCAACAAACACUGUUAGUGGUUUUCUUUGAAAUGACUAGCUCAUUUUAUUUUGAUAAAUUGUCAGCCAUAGUGACAAAUAUGUCAUUAUGUUGUAUGAAAAAAGCAGCCAUUAAAAUCGCAACUCAGUCACACAAGAGCUUCUCCUGAAACUAUCAUAUUUCUUUUGUAUGCACAGAAGUAUUAAAUGCAUGCUUCCCAUUUCACCACAAAAGUAUUAAAAAGAUAUAUAUUCAAGGGCCAAGAUUUAAUAGAAAUUAUUUUAUUUCUUCGCGAAAGACCCUCUUAAGUAAAACUGACUUUGCUUUAUUGUUUUUUAUUUUUAUUACAAGUAUGUGGCAGUAAAUAAUGCAAUGACAUUGAGUCAGUUUUGGUGUCUCUCUUUGAUUCAUGCUAAAUAUAAAAAAUCAGUAAUUUUACCCACAACUGCUUUUGCACUACCAAUGCAAAUACCAAUAAGAUGGCAAAGGGACAAAAAUGUUCCAGCAUUAUGAUGAAAAUAGUUUUGACCCAGCACAUGCCCUGAAAGGACUUGGAGAUCCCCAAGGGUUUGUGGAGGACACUUUAAGAACUGCUGUAUUAGAGUUCUUUCUUCCUGGCUCCCACUGCUUCUAGUACUAACAUUAUGGCACUUACCAUAAAUAAUUAUUAUCACCUUUUUCAUGUUCGCUCUAUCACACUGGAAGUCUUUUGAGGAUAAGGGCAGUGUCUUUUUUGAUCCACAGACCUAGCUCAGGAACUGGGAUGUGCUAAGUCAAUAAUCUUGAAUUAACUGAAAUUUUCUCCUAAAUUUUCCUUUAACCUCCCUUUUGAUGGUGGGAAAACUGGGCUGAAAGCCCACACUGUCAUCUCUUUUGAAGUCCUUCUAAAUCAAUUCCUAUUAUUGUUCCUCAUGAC